GUGUCAGCAGCCGCGGUAAUACAGAGACCUCAAGCGUUAUCCGGAUUUAUUGGGCGUAAAGCGUCCGCAGGUGGUUCAUUAAGUCACUGGUCAAAUCUCCGGGCUCAACCCGGACACUGCCCGUGAUACUGAUGAGCUAGAGGCCGGUAGAGGUAAGCGGAAUUACAGGUGUAGCGGUAAAAUGCGUUUAUAUCUGUAAGAACACCAAAGGCGAAGGCAGCUUACUGGAACGGUCCUGACACUCAUGGACGAAAGCGUGGGGAGCGAAAAGGAUUAGAUACCCCUGUAGUCC
rnacentral:rRNA from 1 species